ACAGUAGGUUCCUCUAUGGUGACGGUUAUCUGAAAAAAGAAGCUAUUUGGACGCUUCUUAUUUUCCCUCCUCCAAUUUAAUGAACCCGCCACAUCUCUUAUUUUUAUUAUUUUUUAAAACCUAAAAUAAUAUGUGAUCCCACUACAUCGACUAAAACCCCUAUUUCAUUUUGGUCUCAUCUCCUUCUUUCACAUAGCUAGCUCUAAUUAGAGAACCCACUGAGAAAUCCCACACAACUCUGGCCGGCGUGAGGGUUUAUUUUGCAGGUUUCCCCUUCUGGAUAUUCUAGUUAAUGGAUAAUGGAGAUAAAAGUUGGAUGGGUCUCCGAAGAUCAACGGAGGAGUACAUCCGUGGAGUGAACAAUUUUUUUGACAAGGCAUUUGAACGGGCUGCCCAAGGAAAUGAAAUAUUAUGCCCUUGCAAAAAAUACGUUAACUGUUAUUGGCAUUAUAGAAAUGUAGUGGAGGAUCACUUGGUUGCUUAUGGGUUUGUUACUGGAUACACCAAAUGGGUUUUUCAUGGGGAAAGCUUUUCCUCAAGAAAUACUCUACGGUCAAGCAAUGAUGAGGAUGAUUCUAACAUGCAUGACGAUAUUGAUGGACUACUUUAUGAUACUUUUCGAAAUGCAGAGGGUGACUUGAGAUGUGAAGAAGAAGUGAGAGAGAGACCAUCUGAAGAUGCAAAGAAAUUUUUUAAAUUACUGGAGGAAGGGAAGGAAGAGUUAUACCCGGGGUGUGAGAAUUUCUCUAAAUUAAGUUUCGUCAUUCGAUUGUAACUUGUUUAAAUGCAUUCAUGGAUUGAAUAAUGUGGCCUUUUCAGACUUGUUAGUCUUGUUAAAAGAGGCAUUUCCAUUUGCUCA